AUAUUACAAUGAUGAUGAUGAUGAUGAUGAUGGUGCCAACGAUUACAAAUUGAAAAAUCAUCAUCAUCAUCAUCAUCAUAAAUU
rnacentral:pre_miRNA from 1 species